rnacentral:rRNA from 1 species
ACGGAAGGCAGCAGUGGGGCAUAUUGGGCAAUGGGCGCAAGCCUGACCCAGCAACGCCGCGUGAGGGAAGAAGGCUUUCGGGUUGUAAACCUCUGUCCUUGGUGACGAAGGAAGUGACGGUAGCCAAGGAGGAAGCCCCGGCUAACUACGUGCCAGCAGCCGCGGUAAUACGUAGGGGGCGAGCGUUGUCCGGAAUUACUGGGCGUAAAGGGUGCGUAGGUGGUCUACUAAGUCGGAUGUGAAAUCCCCGGGCUUAACUUGGGGGGUGCAUCCGAGACUGGCGGACUAGAGUGCAGGAGAGGAAAGCGGAAUUCCUAGUGUAGCGGUGAAAUGCGUAGAUAUUAGGAGGAACACCAGUGGCGAAGGCGGCUUUCUGGACUGUAACUGACACUGAGGCACGAAAGCGUGGGGAGCAAACAGGAUUAGAUUCCCUGGUA